UUUUGCAUAAUGGGUCAGCGAGUUUUUAAAAAAGGCAAGCUUUUAACGAGGCGAAGAAAAUACGAAUUUUAAAAAAUAACCAGUCUUUUUUAAAAGACCCGAAACUGAGUGAUCUAACCUUGAACAGGCUGAAGACAGAGUGGUAACAUUCGUUGGAGGGCCGAACCCGUGUCUGUGGCAACAUACUGGGAUGAUUUGAGGUUAGGAGUGAAAGGCUAAUCAAACUCAGAGAUAGCUGGUUUUCUGCGAAAUCUAUUUAAGUAGAGCGAUCAAGUAAAACUUUUUGGGGUAGAGCACUUUUUAGAUGA
rnacentral:rRNA from 1 species